AAGGAGAGAGAGAAGAAGGAAGGAGGGAUGAGGAGGAAGAGGAAAACAGCCUUCUCUGUGCCAUCAUCCUCUCCCCUC
rnacentral:miRNA from 14 species